CAUAGCGACUAUCGUGGCAUAUCAAUAAGCGGAGGAAAAGAAACUAACAAGGAUUCCCUUAGUAACGGCGAGUGAAGCGGGAAGAGCUCAAAUUUGAAAUCUUCAAGGUUUCUACCUUGACGAAUUGUAGUUUAAUAGGAGUGUUUUCUGUUAGUGAAGUUGGCUAAAAGUUCUUUGGAAUAGGACAUCAUAGAGGGUGAGAAUCCCGUAUUUGGUACCAUUAUCUCCUAGCUGUUGUGAUACACUUUCAACGAGUCGGAUUGUUUGGGAAUGCAGGUCCAAAAUGGGUGGUAAAUUUCAUCUAAAGCUAAAUAUUGGCGAGAGAUCCGACUAGCGAACAAGUACCGUGAGGGAAAGAUGAAAAGAACUUUGAAAAGAGAGUUAAACAGUACGUGAAAUUGUCAAAAGGGAAGCGUUUGACACCAGUGUUGUUUUCUCGAAAAUCAAUUAAAAAAGGCCGGAUUUUGUGUUGUAUUGACCUUAAAAGCUUUCUUCACUCUUUUCUUGUCUUUUUUAAUGCACUUUUCGUUUAACAAGUCAACAUCAGUUUCUUUUGUUGUAAAAGGGUCAUUGGAAGGUGGCUUUCUUUUCGGAGAAAGUGUUUAUAGCCUUUGAUCUCUGCAACCGGAGAGGACUGAGGUCUGCAGCGUAGACUCUUCGGGGUUAGAUACAUUUGUGCUAAGUUAUAGCUUUUUCAUAGACAACUUGUUGACUAUAUUUAGUCUUGUAGGCUUACUCCGCUUACUGCUAUUUUACCUACGCUUAGGAUGUUGAUAGUCACAGCGUGUAC
rnacentral:rRNA from 1 species